rnacentral:rRNA from 1 species
CAGUCGCCGCGGUAACACCAGCACCUCGAGUGGUCAGGAGGUUUAUUGGGCCUAAAGCAUCCGUAGCCGGUUGCAUAAGUUUUCGGUUAAAUCUAUGCGCUUAACGUAUAGGCCGCCGAAAAUACUGUGCAGCUAGGGAGUGGGAGAGGUACACGGUACUCGAUAGGAAGGGGUAAAAUCCUUUGAUCUAUUGAUGACCACCUGUGGCGAAGGCGGUGUACCAGAACACGUUCGACGGUGAGGGAUGAAAGCUGGGGGAGCAAACCGGAUUAGAGACCCGUGUAGUCCCUGUCUCUUAUAC